rnacentral:lncRNA from 1 species
UACAAAAAUUUCAAUAUAGUAGUGGAAAGUGACAAAGUGAUGAGAAAAAUAUAAGUACAUGAUAGGUGGAAGAGGCUUAUUUCGGUUUGAAUGACAAAACAAGAGCACUUUUGCUCAUAUAAUAUUUGAUAUGGAGUAUAAGUAAAAUGAAUGUAUGUUGGAUAUUAGAUACAUAUAUUUUCUUCGAAGGUAACCCGUGUAUAUUAUAUAAUAAUAGUCUGCAACUAAACAAAUGACUUGAGUGGGGGUAUCUGCCCCCAAUGAGCCUUCAUUUGCUCCGUCCAUGCACCAUCAUUUACUUUCUCACAAGUCACACCUAAUGGAAAAUUAUUAAAGAAAAAUAAUAAUACAACAGAAAAUGACGCCUGCUCAUGAAUUAAAGAAAACUUGUGAUGUAGAAUGGUACUAAGCAACCUCACAAGAGAUGAAAAGUUGAAAACAAUUAUUUCAACAUGGUUUGAGGUAACCACAUUUAGAAAUGAAGAAGAAUUUGCACUCAAUGUAACCAGAAAAUCUGUUGUUGGGAUGCAUUUGAUGAAACGUAUGUCUCUCUUAAUCAUUCAUUUUAUCAUGUCAUCGACACACGUAUGUGACGCCUAAUAAUAAUAAAAACAUAUCGAAAAUAAUAAUUACAAGAACACUAAAAAAAAUCAUUUUGAUGCAAAAAUUAGAAGAAAUAAGUUUGGUGAAGUGUCACCAAUUAUGUGAUACUAGGCUUUCCAAAUCCCAGAUUUGCCAAACACGAUAAGAUGUCUUUGUAUCUAUAUCUGUAGUUUAUUAGUAGAACAUGCAUUAUUGUAGGGUUUCUGCAGCAGGACUUGGACCUCUCAUCUACCGGCAUACGUAAACACACAAAGGCCCACUUCCUAAACACCAUUCAUAUAUACACCUCCAUCAACUGUCAUGGCUAAUUGGAAAUAUCGAAAGUGAACGCCAUGCAGCAGAGGCGAAUGGUUCUGCUGCCCUUAUAACUUAAAUUAGAGGCGGAUAAAUGGGUAAAUCUGCCCAUAAAGCCGCUAAGUGACACAUUAAAUUGCGUCCUUAAUAAGUAAUCAGAUACAGCACAUACAUUAUGUGUGUGUAAAUAUAAAAAGAUAAUUGUUAUUAGCAUCCUAAAAAUCUUAUUCUACACUAAACUUUCUAUAUUAGGAAAGAAAAAUACAUUUGUGAGGAGUAUAAAAUGAAAUUUUUGGAGUUCCAAUAAUACUUCCCUAUAAAAUAUAUAUUUAUAUAUAUGAAAGAGAGAGAAGUUUGAGAGAAAUGUGAAAGAGAGAGAGAGAACAUAGAAGAGAUUUAAAUUUAAAUUUUUAAAAAUUUAAAAUUAGAGAUAUGUUAGGAUAACAAAAGCGUGGAAAGCAAAAAAGCAACAAAAUUUGGUUUGUAUAAAAUUACAUUACUGUCCAUAAUUUUAUUUCGUGAUAAAAUAUUAAACUGUCUUUUCACUCUUUUUUAGUUGAUAAACAUGAU